AGUGAAUGUUUGCGGGACUGUCUAGGACUUUUAAGCAAUCACUAACGUCCGUUUUCAACUUUUGAACAUUUAUCGACUACCUUAUAUUGAGCACCGUCGGUUGUUUUGUACUAAGUCAUGCUGUAUUUCCAAGAGGUUCAAAACUGACUAUGGUGACAACACCCAGAGGAAUCUCCACUCCCAGGCACUCUGACACACCCAAGAUCAGAGAAAAUGAUUACAACAACACACACGAAGACACACGCAUUACUC